AUACCCGCUGAACUUAAGCAUAUCAAUAAGCGGAGGAAAAGAAACCAACCGGGACUGCCUCAGUAACGGCGAGUGAAGCGGCACCAGCUCAGAUUUGAAAUCCGGCCCCCUGUGCAGAGGCCCGAGUUGUAAUCUGCAGAGGAUGUUUCGGGCGCGGCGGCGGUUUAAGUCCCUUGGAACAGGGCGUCAUAGAGGGUGAGAAUCCCGUAUGUGACCGGCGACCAACCCCCCCACGAAACUCCUUCGACGAGUCGAGUUGUUUGGGAAUGCAGCUCUAAAUGGGUGGUAAAUUCCAUCUAAAGCUAAGUACGGGCCAGAGACCGAUAGCGCACAAGUAGAGUGAUCGAAAGAUGAAAAGCACUUUGGAAAGAGGGUCAAAGAGUACGUGAAAUUGUUGAAAGGGAAGCGCUCGCGACCAGACCUGCCCGCGGGCGAUCAGCGGUGGGUUCCCCCCGCCGUGCACUCGCCCGCGAUCAGGCCAGCAUCGGUUUCGGCGGCCGGACAAAGGCCCGGGGAACGUGACUCCCCCCGCCGGGGGAGCGUUAUAGCCCCGGGUGCAAUGCGGCCAGCUGGGACCGAGGACCCGCGCUCCGGCAAGGAUGCUGGCGUAAUGGUCGUGAGCGACCCGUCUUGAAACACGGACCAAGGAGUCUAACAUCUAUGCGAGUGUUUGGGUGUCAAACCCAUGCGCGCAAUGAAAGUGAACGGAGGUGGGAACCCCGGAGGGGCGCACCAUCGACCGAUCCCGAAGUUUACGGACGGAUUUGAGUACGAGCAUAGCUGUUGGGACCCGAAAGGUAUGUCGGUAUCGGUGCCUCCGGGAGUGACAGCAGCUAACGUGAUUGUUCCAUUCAGAUGGUGAACUAUGCCUGAAUAGGGUGAAGCCAGAGGAAACUCUGGUGGAGGCUCGCAGCGGUUCUGACGUGCAAAUCGAUCGUCAAAUUUGGGUAUAGGGGCGAAAGACU
rnacentral:rRNA from 1 species